ensembl:snoRNA
UGGAUCAGUGAUGACCACUGAUGUGAUAGAUGAUUCAUGAGUAAUGACUACAGUUCUUGGAGUCUGAGGUCCAC